CACGCUGUAAACGAUGGAUACUAGGUGUGGGAGGUAUCGACCCCUUCCGUGCCGCAGUUAACGCAAUAAGUAUCCCGCCUGGGGAGUACGGCCGCAAGGUUGAAACUCAAAGGAAUUGACGGGGGCCCGCACAAGCAGCGGAGCAUGUGGUUUAAUUCGAAGCAACGCGAAGAACCUUACCAGAGCUUGACAUCGUCUGAAUCAUCCGUAAUGGGAAAAGUCCUUCGGGACAGAUAGACAGGUGG
rnacentral:rRNA from 1 species